AAAUAGGAGAGAAGAGAAGAGGAAGGGAAGAGUGAAGAGGAGAGGGAGAGGAGGGAAACCCUAAAAAUAAAAUAAAAAAUUAUUUUGAAAGAGGUGCACCUCGCCUUGCCUAGCCUAGUGCCUUAGUGCCUAGGCGAGAGAGGCGCUCACCUUGCCUGGCUCCUUUAAUAACAUUGGCUGUGAGCAUUUGCUUGACUCGGUUUGAAAUUAUCAAAACCGAAUAAACUGAAAUUUCUUAGAAGGGAAACCAAACUGAACCUAAAAUUGAAAUAUUUUGGCUUAGUUUGGUUUUUAUUACAUAAUAUAAUUUCAGUUGGUUCGAUUGAUUUGUUUUUUUUAAUUGUACAAACAUAACCAAAUGGAAUUAGCUGAAAUAAUUGAAAAAGAAAAAUAAAAAAGAACAACAAUAACAACAACAACAACUAAGCUUUAAUGGUCGGCUACUGAACUGAAAAACCAAAUAGCAUAAGUUUGGUUCAAUUUGUUGGUUUAAGCCAAAUAAUGCUCACCCCUACUUCUCAUCCAAACAAGAGAGAAACUCAUUCUGUCUUAUCCCAUUUUCUAUCUCCCUUCAGUUUCUUUCCCCUCAUAUUUUCCCUAGCAAAAAAUAGUUCCUUCUGAAUCUAAUUCAUAGCUUCUAAUGUAAGUAAUCUUACAUGUCAAGUUGGAUUUUUUACCUCAUGUUUUUUUUUUUUUCCUCCUGUUCCUGAAGUGAUGUGAUGCAUUAUCUAUUUGGAUAUGAUUGAAGUAUUAUUUCCGUUCAUUGUAAUUUUUAUUCUCAUCUUCAACUUUUACCCUGAUAUCUUUAUUCCUUACCGUUUUCUUCUUUUAAAAAAAAAAUGUGAGUUUGCAUAAGAAGACCUUUUGUUUUGGCUUGCUAUGCUAAAGUCUGCGUUCCUUAUGCUCCCUUUUUGUAGUGUAUUUUUCUGCCUACCAAAGUAGGAUAAAAAGGAGAAAUGCUAAACUAUGUAAUCUUGUGAACAAUGCUUGAUUCAUUUAAAUUCAUCUAUUUCUUUCUUGCUAAAAUACAAGUUCAUAUUCAACAGGCCAUCAUAAAACCUCAGUAUG
rnacentral:misc_RNA from 1 species